rnacentral:rRNA from 1 species
CCUACGGAUGGCAGCAGUAGGGAAUAUUGCUCAAUGGGGGAAACCCUGAAGCAGCAACGCCGCGUGGAGGAUGAAGGUUUUCGGAUUGUAAACCCCUUUUGUUAGAGAAGAUAAUGACGGUACCUAACCAAUAAUCACCGGCUAACUCCGUGCCAGCAGCCGCGGUAAUACGGAGGGUGCAAGCGUUACUCGGAAUUACUGGGCGUAAAGAGCGCGUAGGCGGGAGAGCAAGUCAGAUGUGAAAUCCUAUGGCUUAACCAUGGGACUGCAUUUGAAACUGUUAUUCUAGAGUGUGGGAGAGGUAGGUGGAAUUCUUGGUGUAGGGGUGAAAUGCGUAGAUAUCAAGAGGAAUACUCAUUGCGAAGGCGGCCUGCUGGAACGUAACUGACGCUGAUGCGCGAAAGCGUGGGGAGCAAACAGGAUUAGAUACCCUUGUAGUC